GCGUUCUAAGUGUUGUUGGUGACACGUCUGCCUUCCAAGCAGAAAUGAUCGGUUCAAUCCCGAUAGAACGCUCCA
rnacentral:tRNA from 1 species